GUUUUAUUUGGGACACAGGAAUUGCAAGUUCAGGUUAUUUACACAUACAGGGUGGUCUUCAGUAUGUCAGAAGAACAAAGAGGAGUUAGGGGGUUUUAUUUUUUAAAAAAAGUUAUCUAUUGUUUUUCUAGAAAGUUCGUUGACAUUUAGUAAAGUUUUGGGUAGCUGGUUAGUUCUGACUGGUGAGGGAAGGGGCUUGGUAAAGCUUGCCCUACAGCUGCAGCAGGUUCUUUGAGAAGCUAAAACCUGAAGAUAAAACCUGUUUCAGGUUACAGCAGGCGGUUUCAGCAGCCAGGCUUGCUGAGAAUUCCAUUCUUAGAGCAAUGUUAUGUGCCCUGAGGGCUUCCCCCAGCACUGGCUUCUCCAUUCUUUUAGUUGGCUAUGACAAGAGUGACCCAAUUAGAAUGAUUAACUUGCACACUCUAAUUCCUAACUCUGCCAUCUGCAUAUUAACCUGUAAUAGCAUUUUUUAAAGUUUGACAACGAGAAGUAUAAGAAAUUUACAAGAAGAACACUUGCCAAGAUACUGCUUGCGUAAAUACUUGCUAAAGGUUGUAUUCUGAUCUGUAAGGAAAGUUUCCUAAACUGAUUGUCUUCUCAAGAGCAAUGGCAUUACUGGUGCAGCUUGUGAGUGACCAAGACUUGAAAUCUUGCCUGUUAGGAUCCAUAACAGACACCCUGUUCAAUCACUGAAUCUUGCUAAUUCAUCUUCCUAUUCGAAUUCAGUUUCUUCUCUCUCAUCUGGCUUUCCCCAGUUUUUCUCAAGUGUUUAUCAUUACUGUAGUCUCCAUAUUGAUUACUGCCCCCAAAUUAAUCUUCCCCAAAGACCACCUGGAUCACUCCUACAGAUCUGGUGUACUUGGAGGUAACCAUGACCUAUCCUUCUCCCACAUGGGCCUGGGAUCAUCUACCCAGCUUUCCCUUUUCUGCUGGCCCUGAAAAAUAAACCUUACAGGAAAAGACAGAAAAUAGUCAAAACAGCAAACAUGGAAAGUUUAAAAAUUCCAAAAUCUUGGAACAUUCUUAAGACAUCGUUUUUCAAAUGUCCCUAAAGGUUAGCAAAGCAUGCUACAGUGUCAGGUGAAAUUACAACAAAUUUAAAGAUCUCGGUUGGCUUUAUUGCAAUUCUAGAUUCAGGCACCACUUCAUUCAGUAAAACAGAAUAGGUGUUCCCAUGAAUGGAGCAGAUGUGGUUGGCUUUAUAGACAGAAAAUGGGCUGAAGAAAGAAGAAACAACAAAAAACAAGUUGGUCUUUUCAAAGUUACUUUCCUUGUAAGGUGGGGCACUGAGACAGAAUAAUAGAAAGAAAACUGAUUGGUUAAUACCAGGUUACUCCAGAUUAAUAUUGUAAGAACAACAGCAGCCAGGUGUGGUGGUGUGUACCUGUAGUCCCAGCUACUGAGGAGGCUGAGGCAAGAGGAUUCCUUCAGUCCAGGAGUUCAAGGCUGCAAUGAGCCAUGAUCCUGCCACUGCAGUCCAGCCUGAGCAACAGAUCAAGACGUUGUCUCAAAAACAAACAAAAACGACUUAAAACAGGGAACUUCAUUAUCAUGGGGAUUGAAGGUUUAAACUGGCCUGUUUGGGAAAUUAGGCUGUUAUCUCUCUCCUGAUUUCUCAGAAGGCCACAUAACAACUCAGUUUCAGUUUUGUGAGCAUGGGUAACUCCAUGUUGGUUUUUAGUCUAGUCUGCUGGGGCUUAGUGCAGGAGUUUGGUCCAAAAUAAUGGCAUCCUCAUAAAAAGGAAUGAAAUAAUGGCAGUUGCAGCAACCUGGAUGUAAUUGGAGGCCAUUGUUCUAAGUGAAGUAACUCAGGAAUGGAAAACCAAACAUUGUAUGUUCUCGUAAGUGGGAGCUAUGUUAUAAGGAUGCAAAGACAUAGUAAUGAUAGAGUGGACUUUGGGGACUCCGGGGAGAGCGUGAGAGGGGAGUGAGGAAUAAAAGACUAUACAUUGGGUAGAGUGUAUACUGCUCGGGUGAUGGGUGCUCCAUAAUCUCAGAAAUCACCACUAAAGAACGUAUUCAUGUAACGAGACACCACCUGUUCUCCAAAAACCUAUGAAAAUAAAAAGUAAAAAUAAUAAAAUGAUGGCAUCCUAUUAUUUUUAUUUAUAACAGGAUGAAAGAGAAGAUUGCACUCUGUAUUCUAGAGUCUAGUCCUCACUUUGUAGAGACAAAAGCUCAAUGUUGCCAGUCUCCAGAACUAAUUUGAAUCCUGGGGGAUGAUUCAUACCAACCAAACUUACUGAGACACAUGUGUAAGCCAAAAUUGCAAUUAUUUUUUGUUGUUGUUCAUGAAAAACACAACUGCCAUGGAGACCAAAAAGCUGGUUAAUGUAUUUUCAUUCAAAGGAACAUUUACGUGAGAGGCCAAAUUACAAAAGAUGACUCAUGAGAAUAGAAUCAGCACACAGGAAGUUAUUUGGAUGAUUCUGACAUCGUCCUUCAAACUUCUGACAUCAUACGCCCUUGGCCUCUAGAACGCCGUUCUUUUGGUUCUCCUGACUUACGGUCUGAGCUUUCCCACCAUUUUUUAUGAGCUUCUCUGACUUACAUUCUCAGCCUGUUCUACAUGUUACACACUUGCUAUAGAUAUCCUCACAGUACUCAUUCUCCUUAAGUGAGAUUAUGCUCCACAUCCUUACCUGAAUUAUUGCAGUGAAUAUGGGUGAUCUCCCAGCUUUCAUUCCACAAUUACUUUGUGUUCAUCCAUGCAAUUUGGACAGACGUAAUACACCGCACAGCAGGUCCAAGAAUUGUCCAACUGGCCAAAAGUUAUCAGAGUUACCCUCACCCUUUGAACUAGUUUUUGUUUCAGAGGCCAAUCAGAGGGAAGCCUAGGAUUUUUGUUUUAUUGCAGAGAAUACAGAAGUUCUUUUUUUUCUCUGAAUGGUAUGGCAUUCAAAUGUAAAUACUGGAAGAGCUACAUUCUCCCUCUUUUUUUUUUCUUUGCUACUAAGUAGAGCCAACUGAAAAUAAAGCCAACACGUGAAGGAGGAAUAGCUGGGAGAAUCAAUCAUAGGGAAAGGAAGCCAAUCCCUGAGAGAAUCAUAAACCUUCAAAUAAAACAUCACCGGAACCCAUACUGCCUCUAGACUUUUCUGGUUUAUGAGCUAAUAAAUCACCUUUGUUGUUUAAGCUGAAGGGAUCCAGAAUAAGCCAUUGUGGCAUAAAAAUUAUUUUGAGCUGAAUAUGUUUAUGUUCCUGAAAUCCCUUAUCUACCUAAAAGCAGAGCCUUUCAAAAGAACCCAAAAGAACUCAAUUGUUAUAAAUUCCCUCCAGGGAGCAACCAAGGAAGAUUGAGUCACCGUCAGAGACUAUGAGAAUGUCACCACAUCUAAACAGACAUUGUCAAAACAACUAUGAUAUCUCCCAUCUAUUCUCCAAAGGGCCCAUUUAUCUUUCCCAAAAGUCAUUUCCGUAAGUUCCCUUUCUGCUCCUUCCCCUUCUAAGAAGUCAUUUGUUUUCCCAUAAGUGCUUUUCUCCCCCUCCCCUUCAGGGAAGUAUAUCAGUCUCUAAGCCCCAAAUUCUAACCACCCUCUGGAGUCAACACUUCCUUGUGAUCUCCUUACGUACAUAUGUGAUUAAAAUCUGUCUUCUCUUGUCCUUUGUCAGUUUAUUCACAGGCCCCCAAUUAUAGAACCUCAAAAAGUAGAAGAAAAGUUUUUCCUCCCCCACAAGGCCAAUUUGAGUUGAAUUUUCUCUUACCUGCAACUGAAAUCAUCGUUAAGUGUGACAGAGAUAAUGAUACAUAUUCACCAUCUUAUUUUCCUCUUUGCACCCAGGAAACCUAUGUUUCCCAGCUUCCUUACCUUUUAUAUUGGGCUGUGUAACUAAUUCUGGACAGUGGAAUGUAAACAGAAGCAGUGACCCUCCCAUGCAAGCCUGACCUUAAAACUUCCAGUAAUUUAUAGUUCCUAUUUGUUUUUCACACACCAGUCAGCUAGAUACAGAAAACUCUGAGAAGCUGGGGGAUGGCAGCAACAUUAUAUAGAAGGACUCUGGGUUUCUUAAAAAUUGCAUCAACACACUGAUCCUCACUGGACUGAUUGGAGCAAAAAAUAAACCUUUAUUGGGUUAAGACCCUGAGAUUUGAGGGUGGUUUGUUGCAAUAGCUCAAAUCACUAACUCUGAUUAAUAAUAGUGAUGGCCUACAAUGAUAAAAACUAAAAUGUGUGUCAUUAGCUUAGCACAGCAAUCAGGUGGGAAUCGAGGAAAUAGAUGUAGGAGGGUGGACAGCUGAAGGUUCACUUUAGGCAGUGGCUAAACUCUUGCUUACAAUAUCUCACAAGGCAGAUUAGUAUCUACAUAACUUGUAGAGCUAAGGGAAGAGUUCAGAAAGCAAUAUUAAUGGUAGAGGUUGGUGAUUUUUGAUAUUUUUAGCAAGAUGUUAUCAGAAGGAGAUUAGCAUAGAACAGAAUUAACCAGUUUAUUGUUGGGGGCGAAGGAAAUUUUUCACAUCUGAAGGUUUGAGUCUGCUGAAAUUACCAACAACAGAGAGAAUAACAGGAGAAAAGGCAUACAAAGGUAUUCACAUGGUACUGUGCACAGGAGUCAUACAAAACAUAAGACUCAAAGAAGGGCCAGACAGUUGACACUCAAAUACCCUCUUCAUAGCAGAGAAGAAAAUAGAAGACAUAAGCAAUUUUGAGGGGUAGCAAAUGAUUUUCAGAAGACGUGAAUGAGCUCAAAGAACAGACAAUGGUCUGGGACAAAGUUUUCUGAGCUCUGAGGGAGGUGGCAACAAGUUGAAGGAAGGUGAGGGGCAAUAGAACACCAAUAGAAUAGGUGUUCCCAUGAAUGGAACAGAUGUGGUUCACUUUAUAGACAGAUAAAGGACUGAAGAAAGAAGAAACAACAAAAAACAAGUUGGUCAUUUCAAAGUUACUUUCCUUGUAAGGUGGGGCACUGAGACAGAAUAAUAGAAAGAAAACUGAUUGGUUAAUAUCAGGUUACUUCAGGUUACUAUUGUAAGAAGAGCAGCAGCCAGGUGUGGUGGUAUGUACCUGUAGUCCCAGCUACUGAGGAGGCUGAGGCGGGAGUAUUCCUUCAGUCCAGGAGUUCAAGGCUGCAGUGAGCCAUGAUCCUGCCACUACAUUCCAGCCUGAGCAACGGAAAUGAACAAAGACGGUCUUCUUAUGCAGAUAAAGUCUCCCAGAGGGUGUCUUCAUUCCUUGGCUCAUGGCCCCCUUCCUCCAUCUUCAAAGCCAGUAACAUCACGUCUCUCUGACCCUUCUGUCACAACAUCUCUGACCACAGCCGGGAAAGCCUCUCCACAUUUAAGGAUUUAGGUGAUUUGACUGGACCCACCUUGAUAAUCCAGGAUAAUCCCUCUUCUCCAGGUCUGUAACCUAAUCAUCUACAAAGUCCCUACACCACUCAUCCAAGCCCGCAUCAUCUCUCACCUGUAUCUCACCUGGAUUAUGGCAAUAGCCUUCUAUCUGGUCUCACUCUUCUACUUUUGCCCACUGUAGUAAUUAUCCUCACAGCAAAAUCAGAAGUUUUGUUCUGAACAUUUCAAGUUUUGAGACCUAUUAGACAAUUAAGAGGAUUUCAAGUAGUUGUCUUGUAUACAGAUGGAUCUUCAAUUCUGAAGCUCAAAGAAAGCUUUCAACUGGAGAUGUAAAUUUUGGAGACAUUGCCAUACAGAUGGCACUUAAAACUAUGGGGCUGGAAGACAUAACCAAAGGAGUAAGUCUACAUACAGAAGAAGCUGAGGACCUAGUCCUGGGGCAUUUCAACAUUUAGAGAUUUCAACAAGGAGGUGUUAGCAAAGAAUCCUAGUCUAUCUGUGAAAUGAAGGAAAACGAGAACUGUGCUACAGUCUGAGACUCUUCCUUCCCAGUUAUCCUUCCUUCCCCUUCUCCUUUCCCAGGUAUCAGGCCUGGAUGAUAGUCUAAAGGCACUCCCCAGGUACUCCUCCACCCUCCCUUUAUCCUCCACAGAUAUUUCCCCAAUAAAUUUCUUACCCAUCUAAUU
rnacentral:lncRNA from 1 species